rnacentral:rRNA from 1 species
GACGAACGCUGGCGGCGUGCUUAACACAUGCAAGUCGAACGGUGAAGCGCCUUCCUUUUUGGUGGGUGUGGAUGAGUGGCGAACGGGUGAGUAACACGUGAGUAACCUGCCCCCUUCUUCUGGAUAACCGCAUGAAAGUGUGGCUAAUACGGGAUAUUCUGGGUCUGUCGCAUGAUGGGUCUGAGAAAGAUAUUGUUUCGGUGGGGGAUGGGCUCGCGGCCUAUCAGCUUGUUGGUGGGGUGAUGGCCUACCAAGGCGGUGACGGGUAGCCGGCCUGAGAGGGUGGACGGUCACACUGGGACUGAGACACGGCCCAGACUCCUACGGGAGGCAGCAGUGGGGAAUAUUGCACAAUGGGCGCAAGCCUGAUGCAGCGACGCCGCGUGAGGGAUGGAGGCCUUCGGGUUGUGAACCUCUUUCGCCAGUGAAGCAGGCCUGCCUCGUUUGUGGGUGGGUUGACGGUAGCUGGAUAAGAAGCGCCGGCUAACUACGUG